rnacentral:tRNA from 1 species
GGGCGUUUAGUUCAGUUGGUAUAGAGCGCCUGCCUUACAAGCAGGAGGUCGUAGGUUCGAGCCCUACAACGCCCA